CAUGUACAUUGUUGUAUACUAAAAUAAGGAAACAUUCUAUCAAGGAAGCAUUCAUUUAAAAAAAGAUUACCUAUAACAUGGAUAUUUUCAAAUGGCUUUUUCUGGUUAUUCUGGUUAUUGCUGUCCUGCAUUUCAUUCAUUCAGUCCAGACUUAUACGCUACAAAGGAAAAUAUGUGUGGACAUUCCUAUGAAAUUUGCGGGAAGGAAACUGGCUUGUGAUUUUACGUUACCGGAGGCAAGGAGAUUUCUUCAGGGAG